AUUGAACGCUGGCGGCAUGCCUUACACAUGCAAGUCGAACGGUAACGGGCCUUCGGGUGGCGACGAGUGGCGAACGGGUGAGUAAUGUAUCGGAACGUACCUUUCAGUGGGGGAGUAACGUAGCGAAAGUUACGCUAAUACCGCAUAUUCUGUGAGCAGGAAAGACAGGGGAGUCGCAAGAACCUUGCGCUGAUUGAGCGGCCGAUAUCAGAUUAGCUAGUUGGUGAGGUAAAGGACUCACCAAGGCGACGAUCUGUAGCGGGUCGUGAGAGGAUGAUCCGCCACACUGGAACUGAGACACGGUCCAGACUCCUGCGGGAGGGCAGCAGUGGGGGAAGUUUUU
rnacentral:rRNA from 1 species